rnacentral:rRNA from 1 species
UACGUAGGUGGCGAGCGUUGUCCGGAUUUACUGGGCGUAAAGAGCGCGCAGGCGGUCGUUCAAGUCGCGUGUGAAAGCCCCCGGCUCAACUGGGGAGGGUCACGCGAUACUGAUCGACUCGAAGGCAGGAGAGGGUAGUGGAAUUCCCGGUGUAGUGGUGAAAUACGUAGAGAUUGGGAAGAACACCAGUGGCGAAGGCGGCUAUCUGGACGGUUUCUGACGCUAAGACGCGAAAGCGUGGGGAGCAAACAGG